rnacentral:rRNA from 1 species
GACGAACGCUGGCGGCGUGCUUAACACAUGCAAGUCGAACGGAAAGGCCCUGCUUUUGUGGGGUGCUCGAGUGGCGAACGGGUGAGUAACACGUGAGUAACCUGCCCUUGACUUUGGGAUAACUUCAGGAAACUGGGGCUAAUACCGGAUAGGAGCUCCUGCUGCAUGGUGGGGGUUGGAAAGUUUCGGCGGUUGGGGAUGGACUCGCGGCUUAUCAGCUUGUUGGUGGGGUAGUGGCUUACCAAGGCUUUGACGGGUAGCCGGCCUGAGAGGGUGACCGGCGACAUUGGGACUGAGAUACGGCCCAGAAUGCAACGGGAGGCAGCAGUGGAGAAUAUUGCACAAUGGGCGGGAGCGUGAUGCAGAAAUGCCGGGUGCGGGAUGACGGCCUUCGGGUUGUAAACCGCUUUCGCCUGUGACGAAGCGUGAGUGACGGUAAUGGGUAAAGAAGCACCGGCUAACUACGUG